UACGAAGGGGACUAGCGUUGUUCGGAUUUACUGGGCGUAAAGCGCGCGUAGGCGGAUCACUAAGUCAGGGGUGAAAUCCCGAGGCUUAACCUCGGAACUGCCUUUGAUACUGGAGAUCUGGAGAUCGGGAGAGGUUGGUGGAAUUCCGAGUGUAGAGGUGAAAUUCGUAGAUAUUCGGAGGAACACCAGAAGCGAAGGCGGCCAACUGGCCCGAUACUGACGCUGAGGCGCGAAAGCGUGGGGAGCGAACAGG
rnacentral:rRNA from 1 species